GAUGAACGCUAGCUACAGGCUUAACACAUGCAAGUCGAGGGGCAGCAUUGGAGUAGCAAUACUUCAGAUGGCGACCGGCGCACGGGUGAGUAACACGUAUCCAACCUGCCGCUUACUCGGGGAUAGCCUUUCGAAAGAAAGAUUAAUACCCGAUGGUAUAAAGAGUUCGCAUGUUCUCUUUAUUAAAGAAUUUCGGUAAGCGAUGGGGAUGCGUUCCAUUAGAUAGUUGGCGGGGUAACGGCCCACCAAGUCUACGGUGGAUAGGGGUUCUGAGAGGAAGGUCCCCCACAUUAGAACUGAGACACGGUCCAAACUCCUACGGGAGGCAGCAGUGAGGAAUAUUGGUCAAUGGACGAGAGUCUGAAACAGCCAAGUAGCGUGAAGGAUGACUGCCCUAUGGGUUGUAAACUUCUUUUAUAAGGGAAUAAAGUGAGGGACGUGUCCCUUUUUGUAUGUACCUUAUGAAUAAGGAUCGGCUAACUCCGUGCCAGCCGCCGCUGUAAAAC
rnacentral:rRNA from 1 species